UACAGAGGGGGCAAGCGUUGUUCGGAAUUACUGGGCGUAAAGGGCGCGUAGGCGGCCUGCUAAGUCGAUCGUGAAAUCCCCGGGCUUAACCCGGGAACUGCGACCGAUACUGGUUGGCUUGAAUUCGGGAGAGGGAUGUGGAAUUCCAGGUGUAGCGGUGAAAUGCGUAGAUAUCUGGAGGAACACCGGUGGCGAAGGCGGCAUCCUGGACCGGCAUUGACGCUGAGGCGCGAAAGCCAGGGGAGCAAACGGG
rnacentral:rRNA from 1 species